UCCCAUUUCCUGAUGGGAGGUAUGGAGAGAUAAAAGACGUAUUUUUGGAUGGUGCAAAAGGAGAAGGGGAGAAGGACAUGGAGUAUUUCUUUCACACUUGGUUCUCUCUCAUUCACCAGCUUCAUCCCGCCGCCAUUAUAUUUUCUGAUGCUGGUCUUGACACUAGGUGGGUUGGGAAUGAACUUGGUCUUGGUGCCUCUACUUGUUGGUCUAUUUACAACUCCACUCUCACUCCAAUUGGUGGCAUUUACAAUGAUCCUCAAUAUGCGGCCGAGGGAGAUCCGGCUGGUCAUGAGUGGGUACCUGCCCUCUGUGAUGUCUCAAUCAGACCUGGUUGGUUUUUGGCAUCCUUUAGAACUUCCAAAGUCUGCAAUCAAUCUGCUUGAAAUAUACUAUUAAGUCGGUUGGUCGAAAUUGUCACUUGCUACUCAAUGUGCCUCCAAACUUGUUGGGUCUCAUUUCACCCGAGGAUAUCCAAGUUCUUCAAGAGUUCACUGAACUCAGAAGAUCCAUAUUCUCCAACAAUUUCGCUAUAAAUGCGCUUCUUCAAGCCAGCAGCACGCGAGGAGAAGGAGGAGGAGGAGGAGGAACUUGUGAUUCACAGUUUAGUAGUGGAGGAAAUACUUUUACACCCAACACUGCAAACAUAAGUGGCAGAGGCUUCUUAGGUGCUCCAAGAAGCCCCUUCUCUACCCAGCGGAGUCAACAAUGUUCCCGAAUUCAACUUCUAAGCAGCCAUCCUUUGGCUUCAAUGACUUGAGCUCCACUCCAAUGUUUCAGACUACACCAGAUGUUCAAUCUCCAAGCAUGUCCCAAGGAGAGAAUGUUUCCACAGAUCUCAGUAUUUGGUUAAAAGAGAAAUGGAAUCCUGGAGAGAUUCCCGAAGAAGCUCCUCCAGAUUCAGUUGUUCGGUAGAAAUUCACAAACAUAGCGCUCUGUACUAUGUUAACAAGAUUCAACAGUGAUGUUAGUUGUAUUUUUAUUAUGUUUGAUUAUGUCAGAUCAAUAGCAUAUCAAAAAUUGCUCUGGCUUUAGGAUAGUUGAUUUAUAUCAAUUGAUUUUGCAAAGAGCCGAGUGAAUAUUCAAAGGCCUUUAAUGUAAUUCAUAACUGUUAAAAUAUUCUGAUCUCAUUUUGAGCCAGAAUCAUAAAAUAUAUAGUUCUUACAUUGGA